CCUUCAUGGCUGACCACUUAAAUGACCAUCUACAAGCAUCUUCUUGCAAUCUAUAAAUAACCAAUGGGCCAAACCAACUCUAUUUCACACAAUUUUAUGCCAAUCAAUGUUAGAAUAGGUAAUUAAAGAGUAAUCUACAAAUUUGGUGACACGUAAACCAAAAUCAACCAGAGUUUUUAUAUAACGUACAAUGUGCUUGACUGCAACGGUC
rnacentral:lncRNA from 1 species